GACGAACGCUGGCGGCGUGCUUAACACAUGCAAGUCGAGCGGUAAGGCCCUUUCGGGGGUACGACGAGCGGCGAACGGGUGAGUAACACGUGGGUGACCUGCCCUCAGCUCUGGGAGUAAGCCUGGGAAACCGGGUACUAAUACUGGAUAUGACUCCAUGACGCAUGUUGUGGGGUGGAAAGCCUUGUGCGACUGAGGAUGGGCCCGCGGCCUAUCAGCUUGUUGGUGGGGUGAGGCCUACCAAGGCGACGACGGGUAGCCGGCCUGAGAGGGC
rnacentral:rRNA from 1 species